CUUUUUCCUCCUUUUUUUGUUUUUCUUUCUUUCUUUCUUUCUUUCUUCUUGGAAUU
rnacentral:ribozyme from 1 species